rnacentral:rRNA from 1 species
CGAGCGCCCCGCAAGGGGAGCGGCAGACGGGUGAGUAACACGUGGGAACGUACCCUUUUCUACGGAAUAACCCAGGGAAACUUGGACUAAUACCGUAUGUGCCCUUCGGGGGAAAGAUUUAUCGGAAAAGGAUCGGCCCGCGUUGGAUUAGCUAGUUGGUGGGGUAAAGGCCUACCAAGGCGACGAUCCAUAGCUGGUCUGAGAGGAUGAUCAGCCACAUUGGGACUGAGACACGGCCCAAACUCC